CGGUAAGUGAGUGGGUGUAUGUUUUAAUUCUUUGGUUCAUUUGGAUUAUUAACUAUUUUCAAGAAAUGUGUGAGAAUGAAAAACUUGCAGAGAAAAAAAUCAGUGACACAGACAAUAUCCAAGACAACAUAAAAAAUGUAUAGGAAAAUGUAUAGAUCAUGGACACAUACUUCUUUCAAAUAGCUAGGAAAAGAAACAGUCCCUUGGGAACAUCCAAUUUUUCCUGUGGAUAUAUGAUAUAUUGAACGCACAGGAUUCACUUCUUUCUCUGUUUAUCAACCAAACAUUAAUACUCAAUAUUGAAACAUCAUAAAAAGCUACAUCCUCUAAAAGAAACACAAGAAAACUUUCCAAUCUCCAAUUGGCUGGAAUCAAAAUAUAAUAAAUUUUAAAGUGGUUUGAAUCAUUCUGUCAUGCAAAUGCCAGUUAUUUUUGAAAUACCUAUCCAAUAGUGUCAAAUAGGUAUUCGAAUCCAAAUGGGUACAUUCUUCUGGUUUCUAGAUGAAAACUAUCUAUGAAGGAUCUCUAAUGAGUUUUCAUUGUAGUUAUUUUUUAUGAAAAUAUCCAUCCUGUAUACCAGAACUCUGAAAUAAACGAAAUUAGUCUUUCGGCUGUCAAGGAGAGAUAUUGCAGAGAAAAGUUAUGUCUUUUCAGUACCUAGUACCAUACAUAAAUUUGAAUGAAUAAACCUUUGAAA